rnacentral:rRNA from 1 species
AUGAACGCUGGCGGCAGGCUUAAUACAUGCAAGUCGAACGGUAAGGCCGAGUGCAGCAAUGCACGAGGUACACGAGUGGCGCACGGGUGCGUAACGCGUAUGCAACCUGCCCCCGACCGGGACAAAACAGCUGGAAACGGCUGCUAAUAUCCCAUGGUUACCGAGGAGGGCAUCCUCCUUUGUAUAAAGAUUUAUUGGUCGGGGAUGGGCAUGCGUAUUAUUAGGUAGUUGGCGGGGUAACGGCCCACCAAGCCGACGAUGAUUAGGGGUCCUGAGAGGGUUAACCCCCACACUGGAACUGAGACACGGUCCAGACUCCUACGGGAGGCAGCAGUAGGGAAUAUUGGGCAAUGGGAGCAAUCCUGACCCAGCCAUGCCGCGUGAAGGAAGACGGCCCUAUGGGUUGUAAACUUCUUUUGCCGCAGAGUAAACCCGGUCACGUGUGGCCGGUUGAGAGUAUGCGGCGAAUAAGUAUCGGCUAACUCCGUGCC